GAUGAACGCUGGCGGCGUGCCUAAUACAUGCAAGUCGAGCGAGCAGACGAGGAGCUUGCUCCUCUGACGUUAGCGGCGGACGGGUGAGUAACACGUGGAUAACCUACCUAUAAGACUGGGAUAACCUCGGGAAACCGGAGCUAAUACCGGAUAAUAUAUUGAACCGCAUGGUUCAAUAGUGAAAGACGGUUUUGCUGUCACUUAUAGAUGGAUCCGCGCCGAAUUAGCUAGUGGGUAAGGUAACGGCUUACCAAGGCAACGAUUCGUAGCCGACCUGAGAGGGUGAUCGGCCACACUGUGACUGAGAGACGGCAAAUACUCGUAGGGUAGGCAGCAGUAGGGAAUCUUCCGCAAUGGGAGAAAGCCUGACGGAGCAAGACCGCGUGAGUGAUGAAGGUCUUCAGAUCGUAACACUGUGUUAUUAGGGAAGAACAAAUGUGUAAGUAACUAUGCACGUCUUGACGGUGCCUAAGCAGAAAGGCACGGCUAACUUCGUG
rnacentral:rRNA from 1 species